UUUUUUUUUUUUUUUUUUUUUUGGGUGCUUGAGAUAAAAAUGGUUACGUUGCAAUUUACAAUUAACCCUUUUCUGUGAUAGUAACCAGCAUAAGGUUGCGGUCUUAUGAAUAUGAUUAGAUUAUGUGAACAGUGGCAACAAUUUCCAGUUGAAUAUAUAAAUGCAUGCUGUGUUUUAGUUGCUUUUGACGGGAUAUAUAGAAACUUCCCCUACAAGUCAUGCAAACAAUUACACGUAUGAACUUGUGCUUUGCCAACAAGAAUUCAAAACUAAAACAUAAUAUUGUGCCCCUAUAACACAAAUUUUGUGUUUGCAUUGGUGGAUCAUUGUCUCAUAGGUCCGUCGAACAAGUGCAUAAUGGCACCCGUUAUGAUGUACUUCAGAUAUUAGAUUUUGAAAAAACAAGUGUAUAAAUGAAAUAGAGGACAAGAAUUGUUAGUGUGUGUAUGUGUGUAUAUAUAUGUAUAUAUAUAUAUAUAUACAUGAUAAGUUGAGCGAAAUUUAGGUGUGUUAAUGGGUGCUUCCGUUAGAAAAAUCCUCAUCUUAUUGAUUAUGGUAACACAUUAUUUAUACCUAACCUGCUAUGUAAUUUACCUUUUCACAUGUAAAUAGCCUUGUUUCGAUUGCUACUUUUUUGAGAAAUUUUUUCGUCCUUCCUCACGAAUAUUUCUUUCAUAUAUUUUUCAAUCACUUUUUUACCUCACAUACAUUACAUCUUUAAAAAGUGCUAUAACGAAUUUUUUUUUUUUUUUCCAAAAGCUCCUCAAAAAUAAGUUUGAGAGAUUUUCUACACUUUGGAUUUACAUGGUAGUCUCUCUAGUCCUUGUUCACUGCUAUGUUUCUAGAAGUAGACAUAUGCCAUUAGACGCAUUAUAUCACUAUUGAGUAUUUACAGAAUGGAUUGAAUGUUAAGGUAAGAUGAGAAGAAUUGUAAGUGAGAAAUUUUGAAUUCCAGACUUUUCACUUACAUAAAAUAAAAUAAAAAGAGACUGUGUUUACAUGACAAAAUGGAAUACGAGACAUGAUGAUGUUGAGAGCGACAAGAAAUUGACAAAUGUUAAACAUAAGCAAGAGGUCCUGUGUAUUCUACAAUCUAAUCUGGCUGAGUAGAACUUGAAUGCUGGCCCUUGUCGGGGUUUCUAUCCCACAUCGGUACUGGGGGGUUGGGGUUUGAAUAGAUAAGUCUCCUGAGAGCCUUCAAAAGUUACCGGCUUUUGAAGGUAUUCUCGGAACUUAGGUUUAUCUAACAAAUUUCUUGCUUUCGUAAGAAAAUGUCAGAAAAAGUAGAACUUGAAUGCCAUAUCAUCACAUAAAAUCGGUAUUUCCGUGUUGAAAACUACUCAAUUGAUCAGUACCAAAACAAAAAACAAAAUGUAAAAAUGAAAUGCACAAUCACAAUCAACUAACCAACACAAAAAAGAAGAAAGAAAUAACUUCAACCUCAUCCAAUUUUUUGUCCUCUUAUAGCCCAAAAUGCAUCAAGUGUACCUUUUCUUCAGUGAGAAAUGUAACCUUAAAAUGCGCAGGGUGUAACCUUAAGAUGCAUGGCCAAAGGAGUUUACGAAGGAGCUUUAAUGAUUAUCCAUUGAGAAACGAGAUUAUAUGGGUCUUCGUGACCAGCCUAUAAAGUGACCCUGCAUUUUCUGUCAGCUAAGAGUUCAAUCAAAAGGGGUUGUACGGGUGUGCUUGGACAGGACUUAUUUGUCAAAAAAAUUAUUAUUUAUCUAUAUCACAACACAUGUUUAACGUAUCUUUUUAUCUUCUUAAUAAUUUUUUAUUUUAUAUUCAUUAUAUUUCAUAUAAAAAAUAUUACAAUAAUUAUUUUAAAUAAUCUGCAAAACAGUUCUCCAAUUCAAGAACUCAUACGGUUGACUUUACGGGUCUCCACUUGAGAACUCGUACAAUGUUACGGUUUCCCAUAGUAAUGAAGGUCAUGGUCAUGCAAAAGCAGCAAUGGAGUCGGGAUCUGCGGCUAAUGGACGCAAAGAUUAUACAAGGCCGUUACUAUACGAAGAGAAAUUAGCCUUGUUUGGAUUGUAUUUAUCUGAACUUUUUAUAAAAAAAUUACUAUAUCGAUUUAAUAUAUAUAAAGUAAAAAAAUGAUUGAAAAAUAAAUCCACGAAAAACAUAGCAAUUUUUCUUUGAAAACUUACAAUCCAAACAAUGAUUAUGUAUGAUGCACUUCUUCUUUUUUUUUUGGCUUUAAUCUUUAGGAUUAUGUAUGGUGUACUUGGUUUUUCUUUUUUUCUUUUGCUUUAAUCUUAUCAAUUUCAUAUUUUAUAGCAGUGAAAAAGGUGUAUCAUAAGAGAGAGUUUGAAUGAAAUUAGUGUUCAGAAAUGAUAAUAAUGAAAUGAGUGAUGAGAACUUCUUUCAAAUAUCAGGGGGGACAACGUGAAAAGGAAAAAAGGUGCUCUCUAAACUUGAGGGAGGGCAAUUAUGAAACAAACUAAAAAAUUUGUAAAACUUUCAAGCCUAUCCUAGAAAGUUUAAGCAAGGCUAAAAUUUUCCACCUCUAAGACCAAUCUAUCUUCUCUUUUUUCGAACUUGAAAUUUGGAAAACCUUAUAGUCGAAAGGGAAGAAAUUGACAGGCAUGUUUUCAUAUACAACAAAAAACAGAUAGACUGAGCCACAUUUACUCGAUCACACAGCUUAAGAGCCUUCCUCCAGUAUCCUAAACAAGAGAGUGACAUAAGAGGUACCACAACAUGGAAAGGCCUCUCAAAAAGUAUUGCAGAAGACCUGGAGAACAUGCUACGUAAUGGAGAUAACCUGUGCGUGGAAAUGGAAGAACAACUCUGUUUGGAUCACCAACUUCAGCACCCCAAAACAAAAAAAACGAAAAAAAAAAAAAAAAAAACCCUACAACCCGUCCCUUCUACCCGCUAGACACUUUCCAUGAACCUACGACAGCCAAAGAUGUAUAUUCAACAAGUGUGCUAUUCCCCAGAAAGUGGAACAAAAACUUAACAAGGAUAUGUAGACUUGGAAAGAUUAAGGCCAUUUGAUGAAAAAAUUCAUCUUCCAAACAUAUCUUACGGAGGUUCCAACUUUGAAAUGUAGAAUUACCAAAUAGACAUACAUAAGUCUGAAGUAUCACUAAUUGAAGAAAAAGAAUCCCAGAAUUUCAUAAUCUUGACAAUCAUCUGUUAGUCUUCAACAGAACACAUAAGAUUUUGAAGUUGAAGUAAAGCGAGUCACAAUAAUGCCUCUAAAGAAAAGCUCAUUCAGCAGCUAGAGGGGCAUCCCCGAUAGAGUAACGCCUAUGUAACUCCCUUGCU
rnacentral:lncRNA from 1 species